rnacentral:rRNA from 1 species
UGGGGAAUUUUGGACAAUGGGCGAAAGCCUGAUCCAGCAAUGCCGCGUGUGUGAAGAAGGCCUUCGGGUUGUAAAGCACUUUUGUCCGGAAAGAAAUCCUUGGCUCUAAUACAGUCGGGGGAUGACGGUACCGGAAGAAUAAGCACCGGCUAACUACGUGCCAGCAGCCGCGGUAAUACGUAGGGUGCAAGCGUUAAUCGGAAUUACUGGGCGUAAAGCGUGCGCAGGCGGUUUGCUAAGACCGAUGUGAAAUCCCCGGGCUCAACCUGGGAACUGCAUUGGUGACUGGCAGGCUAGAGUAUGGCAGAGGGGGGUAGAAUUCCACGUGUAGCAGUGAAAUGCGUAGAGAUGUGGAGGAAUACCGAUGGCGAAGGCAGCCCCCUGGGCCAAUACUGACGCUCAUGCACGAAAGCGUGGGGGGCAAACAGGAUUAGAUACCCUGGUAGUCCACGCCCUAAACGAUGUCAACUAGUUGUUGGGGAUUCAUUCCUUAGUAACGUAGCUAACGCGUGAAGUUGACCGCCUGGGGAGUACGGUCGCAAGAUUAAAACUCAAAGGAAUUGACGGGGUCAUAGCUGUUUCCU